AUUCGCGUGCACGCGCGUGAGAGGGGACCAGGCACGCAACCGUUAGGAGACUGUCUGGAGUCUGUCUCAAAUUGAUAAAUUUGGAAAUGGAGUUUUACGGGUCUCUGUGCAUCUACAAGGAAGCCGCCUGCUGGGAAAUUUGGAUCUUUGCGCUCCUCCUCAGACGUCGCUUCACCUUGAGUCGCCACGCUUUUGACGAAAUGUUUAUUUUUCUUCUUUAGAAAACAAAAAACCCAAAGUUUUUUUCCCCCCUCUUCUGCAGUCCAUCAGCAGGCAGACAGCUCCUUGUGCCCAGGGAAUUGUUCCUCACCCAUGGAGUUCAAGAUGAGUGCAUCAUGCACGAGGCAGCCUAUAAAAGCACAUAAAGCUGCUGACAUUGACAGUUAUGAUUUCCUGUCAACAAAUGUGCAGAGAGAGCUGUGUUGGUGGACUAGGAGGAAGAUGUCACACUAAGGAUGGGGUUUUUUGGCGAUGAUGUUGGUGCUGUUGAUGCAGCAUCGAGCUCUCACUUUGUGCCUCUGUCAGCUAUGAUCCGUAACCAUAAAGUGAGUGACAGGCCAUUCUCCGGGGGGAAAGCAGAGGUCUGAGAAGCUCAGGCUCCUUUCAGAGGCAGCGAAGAAGACUGACCGUCUCGAAGACAGUGCUGGGAGCAGCCCCCAAUCUGCUCCAACGCUAG